UACGUAGGGUGCGAGCGUUAAUCGGAAUUACUGGGCGUAAAGCGUGCGCAGGCGGUUGGCAAAGUCAGCUGUGAAAGCCCCGGGCUUAGCCUGGGAAUGGCGGGUUGAAACUAGUCGACUAGAAUCUGGCAGAGGGGGGUGGAAUUCCACGUGUAGCAGUGAAAUGCGUAGAGAUGUGGAGGAACACCGAUGGCGAAGGACAGCCCCCUGGGCUGAGAU
rnacentral:rRNA from 1 species